GACAUCUUCCAGAAGGAUCUGUUGUUGAUUCCCAUUCAUUUAGAAGUGCACUGGUCACUGGUCUCGGUUGAUAUUAAACAGCGCUUCAUCACGUACUUCGAUUCUCAGCGAACCCUUAAUCGCCGCUGCCCCAAACAUAUUUUUAAAUACCUUCAGGCAGAAGCCAUGAUAAAAGAGAAGAGAGACUUUUGCACAGGGUGGAAAGGUUUUUUUAAAAUGAAUGUUGGCAGACAGAAUAAUGACAGUGACUGUGGUGCAUUUGUCCUGCAGUAUUGCAAGUGUCUCGCAUUGGGUCAGCCCUUCAGCUUCAGUCAACAAGACAUGCCCAAACUGAGGAGACUUAUGUACAAAGAACUGUGUUAUUGCAAGCUCUCACUGUGAUAUUUGUCUAAAGACUGCACAGCCAGUGGAGAAAAAUAUACAUUUGUCCAAAUGGCCUGAGAGACUUCACACUGAGGAUAUUUCAUCCUCGCUCACUUUUAUUUUUAUUUUGUAUAACUUUUUUUGUUUGGUUUCGUACUGGAGCCCAACAUCUUGCCUGAGAGAUCUGAGGUGAUUUACGGUCGACAGCCUGUCUUGCCCUUGUGACAUAUUGCCUAAAAGGAACACUCUGUUUCAGAUUUUGCUUUUGUUCUGUGCAUAAAGAUGUUGCUGAUCCGAAAUGUUGGCAUGAGGGUAUCUGUGCUCUAACUCAAGUGACAAAUCAUGUCUGCAGUUUUGUUUUUAAUAAAUCAUCUUAUGAAAA